GAAGAAUCUGAAACGUUGUCACGAUUUAAUAAGACAAAAGCAGAUAGAUCACUUAUCUAGUUUAUUCCGACAUAAGGCAUAGCCAUGUAUAAACUGACUGCCUGCCUUCUAGCUGUCCUGAUUUUUGGUAAGAAUAUAUUUACUAAUGAAUAACUUAUUUAGAUAUGAUAUGUAUAUGAUACACCUAAGAAUGAAUUUCUUUUAUUAUAAUUAUUUAGACAAUAAGUUGACUUUUAAAAACACAGAAUGAGACUAUCAAUUGUAUAGGCUUAACUUUAACUGAAAUUCUUUUAUAAAUCAAAGGGUUAGGCUCUACUGAAUUCAAGAAUAUGGGCGAAAAAUACCAGAAUGGCAUUUACACUCAUAGAUUGAUAAUGAACUGACAACAGUAUGGCUUAAAUAAAGGAAAAGACGAACAGACAAACAAUAGUACACAAGACACAACAUAGAAAACUAAAGACUAAGCAAAACAAUUGGACCUUAUCCUUCUCAUUUUGUAAAAUUAUAAGCAUUUCAACUCAUUGAGACAUAUAUAUAUAUAAAAUCUGUUUAUCUUUUCUGAACGAACGUUGAUAUUAAGAUCCAUUUUGUUACAUCUUGUGAUCAAUUUUAUUUGGCAAUCGCCAAUGGCAGUCAACAGGGUUAAAGAACAUCAGUUGUUCGACCUGUUAGUCAAAUGCGUCUUGUUUAAAUAUACUUUUCACUUUUUUGGUCUUUUGGAAAAUGUUGUUUGUGCUGUUUUUAGACCCUUCUACAACGAAAUUUGUUCUACGUGUACACGUAUAAAAAUUGCGGUUUUUAUCCAACGCAAUCAUAAGUUUGAACGUAGUUUUCAAUUUAGACUCGUAUAUAUAUAUAUAUGUGAAGCCCAGGUGGUCGUGUGGUCUAGCGGAACAGCUACAGUGCAGGCGAUUUGGUGUCACGAUAUCUCAGUAGCAUGGGUUCGAAUCCCGGCGAGGGAAGAACAAAAAAUUUGCGAAAGCAAAUUUACAGAUCUAACAUUGUUGGGUUGAUGUUUAGACGAGUUGUAUAUACAAAAUGUACACAGCCAUGUAUCACUAUCAUUGCUGGUGAUCCGAUGGAUACAUCUGUUGUAGAGUUGUCACUGACUCAGACGUACUUAUUAAUAUAAUUAUUUUCUGUGACUGUAUCUUGCAUUAAUUUGUAGAAUCCUUUACUAUAGAUAAUUGAACUGAUCUAUAACAAUAACAUCUCCAUGCCUUAUAUAUCAUGUACUGUAAUACGCUGCUAGAUUAAAACUGACGAGGAUAGGUAACACACGGACACUGAAAGCUUUAUUAUGUGUGAAGCCCAGGUGGUCGAGUGGUCUAGCGGAACGGCUACAGUGCAGGCGAUUUGGUGUCACGAUAUCUCAGUAAAUUGGGUUCGAAUCCCGGCGAGGGAAGAACACAAAUUUUGCGAAAGCAAAUUUACAGAUCUAACAUUAUUGGGUUGAUGUGUAGACGAGUUGUAUAUAUAUAUAUAUAUAUGAUAUCCUCUUUAAUACCAAUUUAGGUUUUCUUAUAAACACUUCCAGUUUUUAUUGUCAAAAACAUUUUACAGUGAUGUAGGCCCCUUUUUCGAACUUUUGACUACCAUCACUGUGUUUUUGCAAAUGCUGAUGGACAAUCAUCAGUCCAUUAGGCUACCAUCUAACGAGUAUUCAGUAUUUCAAUACUGCCAUUAUUUGAACUAUGCAUUUGUUUGUAAAAAAAAUUAAACUGAGGUUUUAACAACCUGAACCUAGGCUAAAAACUAUCUACCUCAGAUUAAGUUGAGCUUCAGCGAAGUUUGGCUGUUUUAUGUUGUUUUGCUAAUAAAUGCUCACAAAACUUGUUUUGUUUUCCGAACUUAGUUGGUACAGCUUCCGGUAGACUAUUAGUCCUCGAUUGUAAUAUUAACCCCGUUGUAGUGCCUCAGUACAGGAAUGAUUAACACGGUACAUUUUUUUUGUACCUUUCCAGGGUUAAGUUCAAUAUUGUAGCAGCUACGUAGCUGCUAUCAAUAUCUAUGUAACAACUAGUAUACAGCUACACGUUCAAUAGUCAAAAUAUACGUAGCGCUACGUAACAGCUACGAUAUUGAACGCAGCCCAGUUCAUAAAAUCAUUAUUUGAUCUAAAACUAAAGUUGAAAUUACCAUGCGAAGUGAAUUUAACACGAUUCUAAUUGUUCUUUUCAUGUCCGUUUAGUUCUUUUUUUGCAAGUGUAUAAUUAAUGAAUAGAAAGAGAUGUAUAUCACAUUACAAUGAUUACAUAUACAUUAUAAUAUACUAUUGACUACAUAUAUAACAUGAUAAAUUUUCUAGUAUCGAACGAAUAUUUAUAUAGAUUGUAUGGCUACCACCGAUACUUUCUAAUAAGACCUUUACAAAAUCAUUAUUUUUAUUGAUCUUUAGUUUACUCCUCACGAAGAAAAACUGAAUGAUUAAUUUUAAAAAUCUUAUGUUUUUUUAAUUUUAUUUUUUAAAUAAGGGUAUACCGAACAUAACAAUAAAUUGAAUUUAAAAAUGAUUUUAAAUAUUUGUGUAGGUCUCGUCAAUGGAGAAGGUUGUACGACUAUUGCAGACUGUGCUCACACCAGUUGUGACAGUGAAUCAACAUUGCAGUGCGAUAGCCAGAACGGAAUCUGUGUGUGUGAAUUAAACGACUCACGUAAGUAGUCAUGAGUUAGAUGGACUUAUUGUUUUAAAACUAAUCCAUGGUUGACACGUUUAUUACAUCAGAAAAAGCAACAUUGAAUUUGGAUAAAUAAUUUAGUAUCAUUGAAAUUUUCUGUUAAGGCGAUGCCAAAGUUAUCAGAGAGACAUUUCAACAACGUCAAAAAUAAACACCAUGGCUGAAAAGAAGGCAAACAAACAAUCAAUAGUUUACACAACACAUAUAGAAAACUUAAGACUGAGCAACACGAACCUCAUCUUAAACUAUGUAAUCAUCAUAUAUAGUUAAAAGAAUCGAUAUUUAUGCAUUAUUUGCCUCUGAGCGUUUUGAAUUUUAUUUUGUAUUUUUUGUUGAUAAAAAAAAGAAGGAAUACACAGCAACGCCGAUAGAUAAACAUAAUGUUGAUUGUUGUAGAAUGUUCCAGUAAACAGGAAUGCCUAGAUACCCAGGACUGGUGGUGCCCCGAUCGUUUGAGGCAUUGUUUUGAUGGCAAAUGUGUUUGUCAGUAUAUUCCCGCAUAACUUAUGUGAAUAAUGUAAGUGACACUUUUGGUUUUUGUCAGUACAAUUCUGCAUUACUGGUGUAAAUUAUAAUUAUCCGAAAUAAUUAAUGUCAAUUACUCAGGUUACUCCUCUGAUAAAGGACUUUCCGUUAAAAUAAUUAUUUGAAAGUAACUGUCAAUUCAAUAGGUUUAUACGAUUGUAAGUAUGGCAAACCAACACAAGUGUAUGUGUUUUUAGAAAAUAAAUAACAUCAGCUGUCUAAAUAUUAUAAAAUUUGUUGGUCAUUUGACUGUGAGAAAUAUGCAGUUGAGCAUCUAAUAAAACGCAGGUACUAUCCAGUCCUCUUUUCUCUUGUUAUGACAUCAUCGAAUGCGAUAACAGGACUGUCUUUUACUUGCCAUGAGCAACACGGCGGAUUACCGGUGCUCAAGAAGGUUAAGAUGGCCCCUUUUCUUAGCACCUUAGUCGUUUCGUCUGUUUCUCAUAUCCAGAAAUCAACGCCACUUUGCUUAUUUGAAUAUUAUACUAAAGAAAUCGGAUACGGGUCACGGAAAUUACAUUAAAAUGAUAGGGAAUUUUGAAAAAAUGUCUGUUUUAAUUUUAAUUUAAGUGAUAGACAGGUUGCCGGUGCAGAAAAUGAAUAUACACAACAAUAUACACCAUUUAAACGAAACAUAAUGACUGUUGUUGCAAAAAUACAGGUUCCUGAGCUAUUUUAAAAAUCGAAGCGAGAGGCUUUUAACAUUGCAGUGUAAAAUACAGGCUAAAAUGGCUGAAACGUCAAAUUUUCAAACUUCGUGUUUAAAAUUGGCUUACAAGGUCAUUACAAAAACAGGUUGCCGGGGUGAAAUAUGAAACUUGAAUUUCCAAAGAAUAAGCAAGUCCAAACAUUGUGUGUGUAGUCGUUGAACUCUAGGUUCCCACGUAAAAUUAAAAUGUCACUAUUUCAAGAAGAAUAAACUCACGAAAGCACGAAAAAUUCACUGAAUUCGAGUUCAUUGUUUUGAUUUUGACCGCCUGACAACUUUACGGAAAUAUCAAAGUGAUUGUAAAAUAAGGACUCUGUGACGGGCAACUUAUAAUAUCCGUGUUUUAAAGAUUUUAAUGAUAUCAAGCCUAUCAAGCCAGUCCAGUUCAAAGUACUAUCACGUGGUACAAUUCUCAUUUACAUAUUAUGAAUAUUAAUUAGCAAAACCACUACUAAUUUCUGGCUAUGUAUUUAACAGUUAAAAUAAUUGGAAUUGCAAUUGAACAAAAGUAAAAUCACAAAAAUACUGAACUCCGAUAAAGAUUAAAAAAGACGUCUCUAAUCAAAGGCAAAAUCAAAAGCUCAAAUACAACAAACUGUCAUAUCCCUGACUUGGUACAGGCCUCUGAAUAUCCUUUGUAAAAGCAAGCAUUCGAAACUAAAUCGACGCAUCUGGGCUGUUGCAUUAUCGAGGACUCAAUUUUUUAAUGAUCUUAUUGGUUUAGACGUCAUUUAAUCAUAUUCUUAGGGUGCAUAUAUUUACGAAUUAAAUAACAAGAGAUUUUCGAAAAUUUACCAUUUGUUAGAAAAAUACAUGAAAAGCUAAAUAUGUACCCUUUGAAAAAUGUACUCAAUCACGAUUUAGAACUGCACUAAUUUGUUGUCAUAUUAUAUAUUUGUCACGAAACAAAGCCAGUUAUAACGUUGACAUAUUGAUUUCAUUUAUAACAGGUAUGUGGUGUUGUUGUUUGGUGGCAAAUAUCAAACAAUAUCAUCUCAGAGGUGGUUCCAUGUAAAAAUGAAUCUGACAUUGUAAUUACCCAUUAAACUAAAUAUCAAACAGUGAUAAUGUUUGAUAAGUUUGCCUGCUUGAUUAGCUAAUAACUAGAAUGAAGCAAAAUUAAGGGAAUGUUUUUCCAUAUAAUAAUCGUGAAUACUAAACAAACUUUUCAAUAAUGUAUGUUGUCUAUCAUAAGAAAUUAUAAAUCCUAAGAAUAAAUAUAUAUCAUGUUGUUAACUAACGUUGUCACUGAAAUAAAAUGUCACUAAUUUAUACCUUCUUUUUCUUUUUAGAAAACAGACAUGGGCAGUUUACAUAUAAUGAAAUGAGAAAUAAAUCUUAUUUUAUUGUGAGCAAUUUAAUCCUUUAAAUUCUGAAUUAAUUGGUUUCAUA
rnacentral:lncRNA from 1 species